rnacentral:lncRNA from 1 species
CACACUCACACAUGCAUUAACAUAUGCACUAAAUAGAACUGAACUUCGUUAAGUUCUAUAAACGCAUCUUAUAAAUCACGAUUUAGGGAGGAGGCAUAUGCGCUAACCAAGUAGCAUUAUGGAACUCUUUACAUAAACCAUUUUUGUUAUAUAAAGGCGAAAAGGCAAUUAAGGCCUAAUGAAAUAAAUCUUGAAUCAACCAACAAAUCAUCUUGUCUACGAUUCAACUAGCAGUUCAAAUCAUACAAAUACAAAUAUCAAACACAGAGGUAUCAGGACAACUCAUAGGAACAGAGGUUAAAGAGGGAGGGUAUCAAGACAUUGGGAACACAGAAACUCAGUCGUACCCAGUGCACAAGGCUCCCGCUUUACGCAGGGUCUGGGAGAGGUGAAUGUCGGCUAGCCUUACGGGUAUCAAGACAUUGGGAACACAGAAACUCAGUGAUAGAAAAUAAUCCUAAUAAUCCAAAAUAGAUCACAAAGUAUCCCACGGCUUAUUUAUCAGAACUAUUACUAAGUGACAGAUAAUACAUGGGACGAUAAUCAUCCAUACCCAAUUAACUCAUGCAUCCAUUAAUCACCUCUACUCACAACGCCACAGUAAAAAUUUGAAUCCAUUCCAUAUUACCACAAACUAGGGAAAAAAAAUCACUCACAACGAUUAGAAAGAACAACCCCUUCAUUAAUCCUCAUAAAACCCUAGUUUUGCCAAGAGAAAAAAUAAACACAACUAACAACUUAUCAAGCAUAACAUUUCUCCUUGUUACCUAUUCUGAAAAUGUUUCCAACUUAGCAGAAAUGAAACUAGAAAUAACAGUACAAAGUGCAAACUGAGUCAGGAGAACUAUCAAAACACUAGAAUUAGAUAUCCAAAAUUAUGGGCGCGUUCACUUUCCCAAACAUAAUUUAAAUUGAUCAGUCACAAAACAGUUAGAAAAAUACUAAUUCCAAGAUCAAAAUUAACAGAAUAAGCAGAAAACAGUUCCAAAUCUCGGAUUAAAGAUAUCAUAUCCGAGCGAGAAAACUGGAAUCAGAAAACACAAAAGUGCCAGUAAACAUACACAAAAGAGAGGAUCGAAAUUCGAACACACUAACCCCCUCCACUAAUCCUCAUAUUUCGCUAACCGAAACGAAAGCACAACGAACAAUUUAUCAAGCAUAUCAUUUCUCCUUGCUAACGUUCCGAAAUCGCUUUCCAACUAAGCGAAAUCGAAACUAAUAAUAGCAGCAUACAGUGGACACUGAGUACGAAUACUACCAAAACCCUACAAACAAUCGGAAAUUCAAAAUUAUCGGCUCCUCCACUUUCCCAAACAAAAUUUGAAUUUCAAAUACAAAACAGUUACAAAAUUACUGAUCCUAACACAAAAAAUUAACAUAAUACGCAGAAAACUAAUCCAAAUCUCGGAUCAAAGAUCUCAGAUCCGAGCGAGAAAACUGGAAUCGGAAAACGAAGAACUGCCAGUAAAUGUUACACAAAAUGGAGGAUCGAAA